CGCCGACUUCGCCGGCCUCUCCCAUGAAUUUCACGUACGGCUAGUGCACCCAAAUCAACAUAUUAGGCAAUCUUUGACAGAUUGCGCAUCAUCCGUUCGAAACCGAGAUAUUGGCAUUGGCAUAGCGGUGGCUAUGCUCUAAUUGUUUUGCAUAGUUUCAAGAUUGGGGUUUCAGAAAAAACUAGUCAAAUCUGCAUAAAAUUUUUUGGAACACUUUGUCAUCAUGGGACGGACUGGAUACACGUGUAUUAGACACAUCUUCUGCUCACUUAAUGUCCUCAUCUGGGUCAGUAUG